CUGGUUUCCGUCGACCCGCAUCAGCCUAGCGCCGGCACCGGAUCUCCUGCUGUCCGGCCGCGCCGCCACCGCGACUCCUCGCUGCCCCCUUCGCAAACUCAUCUGGAUCACGUCUCCCUCGCUGCUCCUGUCUAAGACAAAGGUGAAUUUAUAUUGAGUUCCAGCCGGACAACUGUGGGCGAAGAGGUAAAAAGUUAAUGGCUCACGAAGGCCAGCGGAGACUGGAGUUUAACGAUGAAGCAGCGUACAAAGGUUUUCCCAUGGUGCUUGGCCACAUUGCCGACGGUCAAUGCCUGAUGCCAUGCCGCUCCACUGAUGAGGCCGAGAAGAUCAGGUCGCCUUCACCACAACGAAUCCGGACACUUCCGCCUUCCGCCAUCACGCACGGUCUGAUGAGCAUCAUCGCACGCCUGUGCCUCAUGGCCUUUCCAUUGCCAACCAUCAAGGUUGCCUAAAUUUACUAGCAGGUGGAGAAGCCAUCCAUGUGCUCAAUAGGUCUCAAGAUAGGUGGGUAGCAAGUUUGGUUUAGGCUGUUCACCAUAAAAGAGCAAUGGACCAAUAUCUCAAAUAAUAUCUGAAUCGAGUCUGAAUUCAUAAGGUAUAUACUAUUUUCAUCCUUCUGAUUAACUUUGGAUGAUCUUGUGGCCUGAUUCACUACAUAAUAUCUGGAGUGUUGAUGCUAACUCAUAUAGUGCUUUGCUCUCACUAUUUCAAUACUACAUUAUUACUCAAAAUAAUUUCAGUAGUACAUAUACUAUUACUCACUAUAAGGCUACACUGAAACUUUGCAAAACAACAUCUGAUGGGCCUGCAACGUGCUGCUGCUUAGUUGCAGAAUGGCAUCUAGCUCCCAAAUGGUCAUCGUGAAGCUUGUGUCAUAUAUGUUUUCUUGGCUGCCGCAAUCUAAAUUUAGGAGGCUAUUUCUAACACAAUGCCCUUAGAUGUUAGUUCUACAGAUCCAACAAAUUUGUGUUGCUCUUGUAUAGCUGGAUUUGGGACUUCAUUUGAUUUGGGGUUGAUAUAUGGUUAUGUUUCUUAGAUUUGAGUGGGAAUUUGUUUUUUGGUUCAAUCAGAGGAUGGAGGAUAAUAUGAUAUACCCAAUCAAGGACCAAGAAACCAUGCUGUGAGUUGGCCAAUCUCUGUUCUCCUGCAAUUACAUUUUCCUUUUUGCAGUAGAUCUUGCUUCCAAUUGAUUUUGUAGGGCAGUACCAAUGGACAUGAACAGGCAGCAGGAUACUGUUUGCUCCAAGGUAAUUUUGCAGCACCAAAACAGUACUAUACUGGCUAGCAACAUAUAAUUGUCUCGGAUUACAUCUAUGUUAUUAAUUAUAUAUUGCUUCUCAAAACAAAUAAUGCUACCGCUCGCUAAUUGUUCCCAUUUAGCAACAACCCUGUUAUCUAGAUUUACUACUUAUAUAUUGCGUAAAUAGAUACCUGAAUAGGGAGAUGAAUAUGUUUGUGCUGAACUUCAAACAUAAAAAGCUUAAUUCGAACCGAUUCUAUUGUUCAUUCUCUUUUCAAUUAGCCCUAUUUCUUCAAGUAUAUGAAUGGUGGAUGGAUGUAAUUCAUGCAUGGAAUGCUUUAUUGGUGCAUGAACUGGCCUUAAAUUGCAGUCAAACUCCAUUAGCGAGCGGAUUUGGAGAGCCAGAUAUUUUUCUGAAUACUUUUGUGUGCAGAUUUGGAGAGCCACUGAAUAAUUGAUUAAUGUAUUUUUGCUUUUUGUGAUGGAUCAAUGUCGCCCAACGAAGGUAACCGGCUGACACAAAAUUAUUUUGUAGUAAAUACAAAGUUAUCCCACACAAUCAUAUGUCUUUUUUUAAGCAAAUAUUCUAUGUAUCGGCAGCAAACUAUCUUUUUGUCCAUUAAUUGUCUUGUUGUCUUGUUGAGGAUCUUGGCUGCAACUACUGAUGUUCAGAGCAUCACAGAAGAUCAAACAGUUUUUAAGAACAAAAUUAGAGAAAAAUAGUGCUACAGUGCGACUGUCUGUUGGCUGUUUCCCCUGUAUUUAGUUUGUUUUUGUCAGUACUGAUUUUAGACAUGUUCCUAAAAUGUAAGGGGUGAUGUUUUUACAAAAUGUCAGCACUAAUUUUUUACACAAUCAUAUUCUUGGUUCCCUUAACUAACUGAACUAUUGUUUACCCAAGUUUUAUGCAUCUCCACUAUUGUUUGCUGUAUUAAAUUAAUCUCCAGAGUUUCUACCGAUUAUUACAUGUCCAUCAUGCAGAAGAUAUCCUCUUGGAGCAUAUUUCAGUAAUUCAAUACCUAAUAUUAUUUUGCUGCAAAGGAAAAACAUGGAGGAUUCAUAUUUCGGAAUAAUGUUUAACAUAAUUGUACCCAAUUGAUCGAGUUUUUGAUGUACGGUCAUUUUGUUUCAUUUUUCAGUUCUGUGACAGGCUAUGUUGGGUUUUGUUUUGAAACUCUAUAUACAGUCACUCGCUUUAACUAAACAGAGAUAGAUGCCUAAAUCGAUUCAGAGUUUCUGGAGUUGUUAAGGGGUACAUCCGGCAGAAGAAAUUUGAGAUGUUCGAGACGACCUAAUAAACGAUAUCAUCCUCCUCGAUCAGGUCAAGAUUGCCUUAGGAUGUAGGGCAAUCAAUCUUGAACCGAGCGGCACUGACACUACCUCAUCUCCUGAGAGGGACUGAUUUCGAAGUGAAUAUGAAAUCGAUGAUGACAAAUAAAUAUUACAUUUUUUUUGCAUUUGGUUGUUAUGUAAUAAAUAAACAAGUAAGGUUUAUUUCAUGAAUUGCCAAUGUAUUGCUUACAAUAAUGUUAUUUUUACUUGGUUCCUCUAUGAUUUUUUAAUGAUGUAUCA